rnacentral:lncRNA from 1 species
CUCGUGGAAGCCGUGGGCGAACUGGCACUUCUCGCCGUACUUGCAGGCGCCGCUCUCUUCGAAGGGGCGGCACAGCUCCGUCUUGUAGCGCGUGGAGUUGAUGGGCGCCCCGCCGCCCCCCGAGCCGCCCCCCUUGCCGGCCGCCGCCUGCUGCUGCUGGAGCUGCUGCAUCAGGUGCUGGCUGCGCUCGCCGUUCUCGCUGAAGGAGCGGUCCCGGAACUUGUUCUCCUUGUUCAGCAGGGCCGUGGGGCUGCCGCCGCCGCCGCCCCCGCCGCCGGAGCCCGGCUCCUUCAGGCCGCCGAACGACGAGGAGGACGAGGACGAGGAGGACGACGACGAGCUGGAGCCGGUGGGGCUGGGGAACUUGGCGCCGGCGGCCAGGGCCGGCAGGUUGCUGGUCGAGUGCCGCCGCAGGAAGCCCGGCGCGAAGCUGGAGCCGGAGGAGGCGACCGGGGUGCCCACGGCCUUCUUGUCCAGCAUGCUGCUGAGGUUUUUUCUUCUAGAAGAAGAGAAAAUUUACAAGAACAGCAUAUAAAGGAAGUCUUACACACUGGAAAAACACGAAGGCUGAACACAGCACUGCUCCAAAGACACAGACUGGCCUCCUGUGAACUGCAGACACCACUCAACUGAUCUGCCAACCAAGCACAUGAGAUCUGCCUCUGAGGCCAGAGGAAAACACAGAGGCAUCCUGUUGAUAAGGCUGAAACUUAAGCUUCAGAUGUUUGGGAAAGAGCCUGCCUAUGCCAGGCUUCUAAUGGCCUCCUGGCACUUGAGGUGUGACACAGGCUGAAGGGCAGAUCAGAGCCUGGCCCUGCCGCAGGGCACCAGAGCGGCUGCAUGGCUCCCCCACCACUUCCCCUGCUGCCAUCCCUCACACAGCACAUUUGAUGCUAGAGCAGUUCAGGACCCGAGCUGGAGACUACCACUGCCACACAGGCAUCAAAGCGGUGGAACAGGUAUGCAAAGGUGUAUCUACUCCCUUAGCUUUUGAGUGCUGAAGUGAUAUAGAGAAAGAACAGCAAGCAAAGUUACUGCACCCUUAUAUGAUUUAAAAGGCAUGAAAUGCUUUCAGCGGGGAGAAUGUUUUGCACCUUUGAUGACCCCCAGCUCUAAAAGUAACAGCACAGAAUGCUGUAAGCAUAUACACAUAUUCUUUUAAGGUACCCACAAAAGGUGCAUGUGUUCUAAAACUUUAACAUGUGUGUCUUCACUGACAUAUUAACUGCUGACGAGAACUGUUCCUCACAUCAGUUUGCCUGCAAAACACGACUGCUUUUUAAGAAGCCACAAACUGUAGAUUACCUGAUACUGAGCUCAUGACUCACACUAUGACUUCAGCAGCGGUCUGAGCACACUGGAAGCUCUCUAUGGGCAGGUGGUUCUCUCCAUCACACCAUCCUCCAGCCAUGGCCUCGAUGCGUACCUCCCGCCAGCUCAGGUCGUCUGCUGAGCACCUGGUGAACUGAUGCUCAGGACAGCAAAACAGGGAUUUGGUGUGCAACAAAGUGUGUGGGCUUUCCUACUCAGUGAGUGAGCUGAACUGCAUGCCCUGCAGCCUGAAUGGGCACGGCUGGAGCUGGGGACAGUGAAGCCCCACGACCCCUGCACAGAGCGGGGAUGCAAGAGGAAAGAGAGCAGGACCUCCCCUGGCAGUAGGCUGUCUGGGCGGGUCAGCCAGCACCCAAAGCUUCACCAGCAGAGCCAUGUAAACAGCCUGCUAACCGAGAUGACUCAAACAGCUAAUAAUAGCCUCUCAUAAUGUAAACAAUUACGUAUUUUAAACAAGUGAAUGAAAAAACUCAAACGACAGAUUUCUAGAAGCCGCUCCUGACUGAUAGCCACAGGGACUAAAGUGGCAGAAAGUGACCCUGGAGAUGUGGCUACCAGCAAACACUGGACAAUACCAGAGUGCUCCUACUACAGUGGUUCUGCAGGCUAUCAGACUGUGUCAAAAAUGAUCACUUAUCAGUUUUUAAAACUCUAAAGCACUUAUAUGUUCCAAUGUGUAAAAAUAUAAGCAACGUGAUAGGCAUCUCGUUAAAUAAGCCAUUACAGGGGCUGAAGUACCAAAAAAAAUCCUCCAUGCCUUAAACAAGUAGUUACAAGCAGAAGAAUUAAUAGUACUCCCUGAAAUGAAAAACAAAAGAUAACCAUCAGGUACUACAUGUUUUUUUCAUUUUCAGGAAGUGAAUUUUCAUAAAGGGAAAGGGGUUAAGUACUGCACUGUUUUAGUCUUCUUUGUUAAUCCACCCACAUAAAAAUUAGACCUCCUACAUGCACAUUCAUAUACUCCAAAAGCUUUGAUCAUGCCAGAUGUAAAUAUUUCUUCUAGUCACAUAUUACAUGUCCUCAAACUAUACAAUUGUUCUCUGUUAAAGCCUUGGUGAUAUUAUGGAGAGCUGAAAGGACAUAUUAAGAGCACACGCAUGGAAGACUUCAACAACAACUGUGAUAAAAUACGGGCAAAAGAGAACUUAACCUUGCCUAACAAACCAUUUUGUAAUUGUUCUUGCAUUGGAAAUAGUUAACUGAAGUUCAUUUUUGAUCAGAGGGUCAUGCAGUUUGUACAAAUGUAUAUACUGCGUUCAUAAUGAAAAUAAGAAGCACUACAAGGGAGCUUAGCACCACAGUCCCAAGAGGAAGCCUCGCAAAGAUCAGCGCACCAACAGUGAGAAUGUUGUCAAGGAGAAGGUAGAAGAUAGGUUGAAACUGAAAUUACAGAGAAUAUUUUAGCUAGACUAGGUAUAUUCUAAUGCAGUAAAAAAAAGUGCUGCCUACCAACCAAGGCAUAACCAGUACUACAUUGCUGUCAACACAGUACUUCAUAGCACCUUGGUACAGUAGGGCAGUGGGAUUCUUGCUUCAGAGACAGCAUGCACAGCAACCAAGUCCACUGAAUACUUACUUGGCAAAACUAGGCUGAUGCAUCACCUUAACGAGAUGAUGAAUUCAGCAAGAGGUUAGUUUCCCAUCCAAAGAUGUUAGACCCAGCAUCACUCUCAUUAAUACCUGUAAUGUUGGAUUUGCAGGCAGAACAUUUCAGGAACUGAAUCAGUACUCACUUUGGUAGCACUGAAGGUUUUCUUUUGGGUGUUAUGUAAUAACUAGGGUUACCCUUAUUGGGUAAUAGGUAUACCCUAUGUAUCAAGUGUAAGAGAACUGAGUGAUGCACUGCUGCAGAUGUGACUCCGUUUAAAACACUCGGCUCAUGUAUGUGUGUGCUUCCCCCAAAAAUAUCUCAAAACUAAAAAAAAAAAAAAAAAUUUAAAAUCCCACUGGUCCAUCCUGUGAGUUACAUAAUCUGGCAAAUAAAUAAAGGUUAGAAACUGUAUUUCUUAUGUUGAGAUCACCUGCUUGCAUACUCUGAGUUAGACAGGAAUUGUGCAACUCCACAGCAGUGCAGCGGGCAGGUGUGCAGCCACCAGAAAAACCAGGGGACCAAAGAACGCAGUAGCAGCAGACAAAAAGCCAGGGGGCUUUCAUUCCCACUCAGCCUCCACAAACACCAUUGCAGUGUGACCCUCCUUCAGGAUGUGAAGAUUAAAAGGACAAGGGAGAGGUAAAGCAACAAAAAAACCAAAGAAAAUGCAAAACUGUCAACCUCCAGGGAGCUGGCAGAGGGCUGUUCACAAAGGUGCUUGUUCAUUGCACUGUGUCAACUGAAGUUACAAACAUCGCAAUUUCCAGUUUAUAAAAUGACCGGUUAUGUAAAACCUAAUAUAUAAGCAGAUUCCUCUUCAUAGUGUUUCAUAAAAAUCAAAGGCAAUUGGAUCAUUUCUAUCCUCUGGAGAAAUAGCAUUCCGCCGGUGACGUGCAACUACUUCAUCUGUUUUCCAUUUUCCUGCCCGAAUCUGCUUUCCAGCCACACUUUUUCAGGGUGACUUUAAAAAGAGGCCUUCCUGACAUCAUGCAGCACGAUGUCAAAACACAACACCAUUACAAAACAAACUAAUCAAAACUAAUUUCUUAAUAGUUGCAGUCUCUGAGUAUAGCAGCAGUAACGCUGCUCUCAGCUUUGGCUUUGAUUAUAACCAGAUCCGAGUUAAUAACAUCUCUGAUUAUGAUGGAAACGUACAGCCCAGGACCAGACGGAAUAUCCAAGUCCCUUCUUGAACAGAAAAGCACGAACAUUAAUAGUCUUUUCAAGACCAUUUUUGGAAUGUGGGCAGAGCAAUAUUUUUCAACCGAGAAUUAUGUUUUAAAUACACGUACACACACACAGGCUUUUCCCAUACAUGCCAUGCCUCCUUUGCACAAAGGGUUUUAUUACCCAACAACCACAGCUAACAGAUCCUUCACAGGAAAUGAGCAUUUGGACUUCACCACUUGCAGAAACAACCCCCCACCGCAGAGCCACGUUCCAAUUUGAACAGCAAAAAACCAUUACCUCCUGCAUAAGCCCACAGAACUUUUGAAACGGUAAAAAAAUAUUAUCCUCCAGCUAAUUACUUAGAACGCCAGUGGAAUAUAUGUUUGAGCCCAGUUAGGUAUGUACUGGAAAAAUGAAGAUGUCUACUCUUCUUCUCUACUCUAAAGUUCUUAUCACCAGAAUUAAAUACGUGACUUCAGACUCCUAUUAUCGGUAUGUUCUGAUAUUGAAGGGACUUUGAGAUGCAUAUCCCAGCUGUUAUGCAGGAACACCAGUUUGCAUCAUGGCUGGGAUUAGAGAAUAACAUCCGGAGAAUGGUGGUGAAAGACUGCUUAUUUAAGGGGUAAAGGAAUAAGAAAAGUGGGGGUAAUCAAUGUAGAAGACUGUAGACAAAAUUAUUCGCAAUACUUGAAAGCCAAUAAACCAAUAUAAUUCAGGAUUACAUUCAUGAAGAAGUAUUUUUCCAGCAGUAGUAAAAAGGCAGGCUAUCCUUCAUUACUGUGGAGUCAUACAGCCACUACCACCGCAGCUUGCAUAAGGAGCCUAUCAGGGUCUGUAAGCUGCUGCCCUGUUUAUUCACUUGCAAUUAAAAUGCUGAUAAGAAAAAAACAACACAUAAUAGAUUAUUCACAUGAACACUUCAUUUAACAUUUACCACUUCCAGGACUCCAGGGCUGAGCACACACAAUUAUCUUUCAUGUAUUCUUUCUUAAUUUUCAGGAACAUAACACUCAUAACCUUUAUAUAACAGUGCCACUGUGUAAUUAAUAGAGCUAAAUGAAGCGCUGUCAGUAAAUAAUCGGUAGCCAGCCCUUGAUGGAUGAGCUGAUUCUAAUUCAGUCCAUUCACUUUCAAUUUUAAUUAGUGGCAUUGUAUUCUACAAAGCAAACAGUUCCUUCACCCUUUUGAUGAUCCAACAUUGCAUGAGAGGGCUGAGAACGACUUGCAAGGUGUCAAAAUAAAUUUGGAGUACAAAAUAAGAAGUCACAGUGAUUAUGCAUCCUUAUAUAAUGUAAUUCUUUAAAAAGAAUCAAGUAAUAUUAAAUUCCCAGAACAAAACCCAUUGGUUUUACCAAGUACCAUUCACCUCAAUAAACCCUGCUAAGACAAUCAUGACCUUCAAAGCAGUCUCUCCUCUUUCAUUAAUUAAACUAACUGAUACGAAAUACUAAGUGUAGAUUGGUGGAUUUUUUUGCUAGACAAAAAUACAGGCAUAAAAAUGCUAUGUAUUUCUACAUAAAGGUACUGAUACAGCACCAUACGUAAUCUUUCUGGUACAAUAAUCCUUGUUCCAGUUGCAUGCUCGUUGCAGCUGCUGACAAUUGCUAAGCAAACUCUUUUGAAUUGCUGGAAUUUACAGUCACUUUAGAUUACUGGAAAUUUUUCAAAUAGAUACAAGAAACUCUGAACUACUUAAGACCAUAUGCGUUACAGAAUGCUUUGAGCCAGUUUUAUGUUUUCUCCUAAACGUUAAUUCACAUUGGUAUGUCUUAUCUUUCUUCCAGCAGUUAUGUGCUAACACAGAGAGGCAUGUUCCUGUAAGGAAGCUAUAGCUACUGAGCACGUCUGAGAAGACUCCUAAUAACUACAAAGCAUCUGAUCCAGGAGUAUGUACGAUUUACUGAACGUAGGUAUUUCUCAGCAGAGGAGCAAAAUAAAACAAGUUGGGAACCUCAGCCGCUCGGUCUUCAUGUCUGUAUUGAUGCCAUAUAAUUAAAUAGUACAGGUAAAGGUUGUUUUCAAUAAAACAUUAUAUUUCAUUUUUAUCCUAGUUUCAUAUUACUUAUUAAAAAUGGUGACAUUUGAAAAGAACAGACUGUAAGAUUGCUCUUAGAGAAAGUGCCAUAAAUCUCAUAUAUUACAAUUUUUGUCAAAAAGGUUCAUGACAUUCUCAGCUUCUUUGCUGGUCAAGGCUAACUUUGUUGGUUAGUUCACUAACCUCAUUUUCUCAGCGUGUAAGAGCAUACUCUUACAAACUCAAAGCCCACAGAAGCUGUUUGCUACACAAAGACUUGAUGGAAAAAAAAACAACCCUCGCACUGAAACCUUCCAACACGCAUAGUCCAGACAGACAACAGAUGAAUAAGAUGAAG